GUGGUAGUUUGACCCUUCCUCUGUACCCUGAACCUAAAGAAACACAUAUUUGGCAAGGCUUUCCUAGGAGUCUUUGACAUUUCCAGGAGUAUAGUUUUAUGACCAGGUGGUAGUUUGACCCUUCCUCUGUACCCUGAACCUAAAGAAACACAUAUUUGGCAAGGCUUUCCUAGGAGUCUUUGACAUUUCCAGGAGUAUAGUUUUAUGACCAGGUGGUAGUUUGACCCUUCCUCUGUACCCUGAACAUGAAGAAACACAUAUUUGGCAAGGCUUUCCUAGGAGUCUUUGACAUUUCCAGGAGUAUAG